rnacentral:rRNA from 1 species
AGCGAACGCUGGCGGCAGGCCUAACACAUGCAAGUCGAACGAACCUUUCGGGGUUAGUGGCGGACGGGUGAGUAACACGUGGGAACGUGCCUUUAGGUUCGGAAUAACUCAGGGAAACUUGUGCUAAUACCGAAUGUGCCCUUCGGGGGAAAGAUUAAUCGCCUUUAGAGCGGCCCGCGUCUGAUUAGCUAGUUGGAUGAGGUAAUGGCUCACCAAGGCGACGAUCAGUAGCUGGUCUGAGAGGAUGAUCAGCCACAUUGGGACUGAGACACGGCCCAAACUCCUACGGGAGGCAGCAGUGGGGAAUCUUGCGCAAUGGGCGAAAGCCUGACGCAGCCAUGCCGCGUGAAUGAUGAAGGUCUUAGGAUUGUAAAAUUCUUUCACCGGGGACGAUAAUGACGGUACCCGGAGAAGAAGCCCCGGCUAACUUCGUG